CAAGUCUCUCAUGCAGUGUCACACCGGAGUAUAUGUGAAGAAGCCCUAGAGACGCUGGCUGGAGAAAGAUUGAAGUUUGCACCAACUGCCACCGGCUCUACAAACAACUAGCAAAAUCAUUGAUCGCGCUCAACCAGACGAACCACUAGAUUGAUGUUUGCAUUGCUCAGAGGGGUCACAAAGGUCUGUAACGGCGCCAUAACUCAGAGGGGUAGUCAAGCAUUCAUCAGAAAGUUUCAUUGCUGAUGAAGCAUCUCCACAACCCCUCAGGAGGUUUGCCAGGAGUUACUCUGGAAUUCAGGAAACAUCCACCAGCAUACGCAACUAUCUAAGCAUAAUUGAACAUCCAAGAUUGAGGCAGGAUGCAUAUGCCGUACCUGAUUUCAAACAAAACUAUGAUAAGAUGGCCGACUUUUUAUUCAGUUCAAGUUAAGAGAUUCAUAACGGUUACCGGGCUUCUCCUGCUAUGGAAUCUUUUAUGCCAACUAUUUGCUUAUUGUUACUAUUAUUUGUUGUCCACUUUUAGUUAACACGUGAUUACUAACUGACUAGAUGGUUUCCAGAGCCUUCCUGGCGGUGACCAAAUACUAUUACCAAAAACUCUGAUCUUUCUUAAUUUCUCACUGAUGGGUCUACAUAUGAAG